CUCAUGGGCUGGCUAGUAAUUUCAAAGUGUCCCUCUGGCAGCAGUAAAGGGAUUAAGGGUGGGCGCAGGGAGAGUGGAAAUGUCCAGUGCACAAUCCAGGUGACCGGCUACUGGCUUGGACUAGGGUUGUGAUAGGAGAGGCGAGAAGAGGUCCAGUCUCCUGUGGGAUUGGAUGUGGGGUGUGAGCAAAAGAGAGGAGGCAAAGGUUUUGGCCAGAGUAGCUGGGUGAACAACAGUGCCACUAACCAGUAAGAGGAACCAUCAGGGAAGAGCAGGUUUGGGAAGUGGAGAAUCAAGGUUUCCAUACUGCCACAAUAAACUUAAGAUUCUGUUAGACAUAAAGAUGUUGUGUAGGUGGUUGGAGAUAUGAAAUGAGUUCAGUUAAUAUGUGGUCACAUAUAAACUACUUAGUCCUCUUAAACUAAGGUACGUACUCCUAUUAUGCUCAUUUUAUAGAUGAGGAAACUGAGGCACAGCUUAAGAAAAUUGAAACCCUUUGGUCCUUUCAGGACAAGGAGACAUGGUUCAUGAAUGGAGCAGGUGGAAGAAGAUGAAGGUUGUCCCCAUCAAGUUACUGGAGACACCAGUUGGAGCAAAGCAGUGACUAUUUUAGAUGCUGACUCCAAAAAACGUUUUUCAGGACUUAACAUUGCCACCU
rnacentral:lncRNA from 1 species